rnacentral:rRNA from 1 species
CACAGAGAGCUUGCUCUCGGGUGACGAGCGGCGGACGGGUGAGUAAUGUCUGGGAAACUGCCUGAUGGAGGGGGAUAACUACUGGAAACGGUAGCUAAUACCGCAUAACGUCGCAAGACCAAAGUGGGGGACCUUCGGGCCUCAUGCCAUCAGAUGUGCCCAGAUGGGAUUAGCUAGUAGGUGGGGUAACGGCUCACCUAGGCGACGAUCCCUAGCUGGUCUGAGAGGAUGACCAGCCACACUGGAACUGAGACACGGUCCAGACUCCUACGGGAGGCAGCAGUGGGGAAUAUUGCACAAUGGGCGCAAGCCUGAUGCAGCCAUGCCGCGUGUGUGAAGAAGGCCUUCGGGUUGUAAAGCACUUUCAGCGGGGAGGAAGGCGAUAAGGUUAAUAACCUUGUCGAUUGACGUUACCCGCAGAAGAAGCACCGGCUAACUCCGUGCCAGCAGCCGCGGUAAUACGGAGGGUGCAAGCGUUAAUCGGAAUUACUGGGCGUAAAGCGCACGCAGGCGGUCUGUCAAGUCGGAUGUGAAAUCCCCGGGCUCAACCUGGGAACUGCAUUCGAAACUGGCAGGCUAGAGUCUUG